GUGCUUGCUUCUGCAGCACCUAUGCUAAAAUUGGAACCCGACUGAGAAGAUGAGCACGGCCCCUGUGCAAGGAUCACAUGCAAAUUUGCAAAGCAGUCUAUAUUUUU